rnacentral:rRNA from 1 species
GAUGAACGCUGGCGGCGUGCUUAACACAUGCAAGUCGAACGGAAAGGCCCAAGCUUGCUUGGGUACUCGAGUGGCGAACGGGUGAGUAACACGUGGGUGAUCUGCCCUGCACUUCGGGAUAAGCCUGGGAAACUGGGUCUAAUACCGGAUAGGACGAUGGUUUGGAUGCCAUUGUGGAAAGUUUUUUCGGUGUGGGAUGAGCUCGCGGCCUAUCAGCUUGUUGGUGGGGUAAUGGCCUACCAAGGCGUCGACGGGUAGCCGGCCUGAGAGGGUGUACGGCCACAUUGGGGCUGAGAUACGGCCCAGACUCCUACGGGAGGCAGCAGUGGGGAAUAUUGCACAAUGGGCGCAAGCCUGAGGCAGCGACGCCGCGUGGGGGAUGACGGCCUUCGGGUUGUAAACUCCUUUCGCUAGGGACGAAGCGUUUUUGUGACGGUACCUGGAGAAGAAGCACCGGCUAACUACGUG